AAAGAAGCGAGCUGGUUGGUUGCUAUGGGCAACUGGGCAUCUUUUCCUCUGGACAGGUUUUGAUAAAUCUCCCCCGAUAUGUAUACCAUAUAAGUGAUUAUAGAAGUUUAUACCCAGAAGAAUAUUUCUUAAAUUACCUGCAAAUAUAGAAAAAUAUGCCUGAAGAAGGAGGCUAUAUAUAUGACGUCCGAAACGCGUUGCAAUUAAAACCCUUUGAUAUGUGAGGACUUCUCCUGGUUAUUACCUAUAUGCUUUCCUGGAGGGGGGAUAGUAUGUGAGACCUGGUCUUACACUCCCCCCAUGUGAAGUAAGUGAACCAUUUCUCUGCUUCUUAUGACAACCUGAAAUUAUUCUGCCAUUUCUCCUACUCUGAGCGCUGGUCUUUUUCUAUAUUUGUUUUUAUUUUCGCUACGGAUUCCCUAUGGGUCUUCCGGAAUACCCUGCGCACUCCUGAAAGGGAUGUCCUUGUGUCAGAGACUGGGAGAUAAAUUUUACGUUUGAAGAGGACCCAGGAUGUUUGUGGGGGAGUACACACACAGUGUGACCCCCACUCACACCGGGUUCCCGUGCGCCUCAGGUAAUGCCGGUUCGGUAUUUUCCUGUUACUUGCUAUUAUUUCUUGGCUGAACCUGUGUUGCUUUGAAAGCCCUUAUGAAAGUAAUCCAGCCCCGGGAAUCAAUGCAGCCUUGUUUUACAGCCGUCCUCCAGCAGCGUCCACUGUACGGCAAUCGAUGGAUCCUGACGGGCAGCAGCAGCAACGACCUCCCUGCAUCGCUACAAAGGUUUAUGUCUCCUACACAUGAGAUACAGGGCCAGAACUCAUUAGAGACGGAGGAAGAUGGGAAGCACUGAAACACUCACGUGAUGAUUUUAUGAAAUAUUGUAUAUUUUUUGUUAAUAAAUUUACAUUAUGAAUAAUUUUAUUGUGAGGAAGCAGAUAGAUACAGUGUACAUUUAUUCUUUG